rnacentral:misc_RNA from 1 species
AAGACUAUAGACCUGCGGAGUACCUGCGGAAGGAUCAUUAACGUGUCUAUGAUGGGGUGCGGAGCGCCCUGCUCCGGUCGAACGGCCGUGCAGCGGGUGCGCCGCCCCCGUCCCACCUCACAAACCCACUGUGAACAUUCACCGGUGGAGGGGGCUCGGUCUGCGCCGUGUCCCCGAUGCCGAAUACCCAAACUCCAGUUGCAAAGAACGUCGUGCGGACUCGGUGCCGCCUAAAACAUG